UUACUUAUUUAAAUGAUUAAAUAAUAAUCUAUGUUAUUGUUUUCUGCUGCAUUUCAACAUGGCGACUCCCAAGCCCAGGAAUGUGACCCCAAUUAUACAGAAGUUAAGACAAAUGCUUCUACCACAUAGUAAACCACACAACAAUGCACUUAGAUUUGAAAAUUUGAUGAUAUCAAAAAGAACUCAACCACCCCCAAAGUUACCUGACGGACCAUCGCAUAAACUGUCAGAUAAUUAUUAUUAUACUAGAGAUGGUAGAAGAGAAGUGUUGCCACCUGUUAGAAUAUAUGAUAGCAGUAAACCUAGAUUAACAGCAGGAA